GUUCUGAACUUUGCCUUUAUUUCACGAUAUAUCUUUGAGACCAUUUUGUGUCGGUAUACGGAAAGCCUCUUUACUCUUUUCUGGGCUAAGUGAUAGAAUGUUGUGUGGGACUUUUCCCAUUGUUCUGGAAUUCCAACCAAUGGCCAAAGCUGUAAACUAAAGCUGCUAGGUGUCCGGGCAUUCAAAGGAGAGUUUGACCAGCCUGCGGCACCUCCUCAGAGGAACCACCAACCCACCCCACCUGACCCUGUGUAUGUGGGCCCAUUGCUUUCUGAGCCACAGAACUGAGGGCCCAUGUGAGGACGUGCCAUGGAAGUACGUGGUGAGAGAGUGCUGGAGACAGCUUGACAUGCUCCCCGCAGCCGUGUGCACACAGAGGCUGGAUACCCCUGGGAGCCUGUGCCAGCAGGUCUCCAGUGACAGAAGACUUAGGGUGAAACUGAACACCACUCCCAUAAAGGCACACCCACCGCCUACUCAGAGACCACCAGGAUCCUCACAGACCCCUUCCUCAUUGGAGUGGAGACCAGGACCCCGUGCCACGGACCACCCCCCAGACAAUGAGCGGACUCUGCCACAUGGCUUCUCCCCGCCCCGCAUAUCAGAAGAGGGGGAAGAGGGGAGAUCCUAGAACUAGGCCACACCACCCCUCCCAGCCAGUGGGGAUGGGGUUGAAUCAUUAAAGAGGUUGGAGUUUUACAGAGAAGUGGACACAUUUCAAUACUGGAAAGUUGCAAACUCUGCCCAAGUUGGCAGUAAGGGACAGUAAAGGGAGAUUAUACAGAGGCCAGCUGAGAGCAGCGAUUUGGGGGCAACAAAGAAAUUUUGUGUUUACACUCUGUGGGUUGAGCCUUCUCAACUCCUUCUGGCUGCCCGCACGUCCGUUGUAAGAGCAGAGUAUCGUUUGUUUAAACCGUUCCCAGUCCAUUCAGUCUUUGGCGAGUUCAAACGAUGCUGCCAGGCACCUCCCUGCAGCUCUCAGGCCACAUGUCUGGUUUGAGUCCAUCUGUGGGUAAAUUCUUCAGAGCGCAUUUCCAGAACUUUCGUAGUCUGAACACAGCCUCUGCCUCUUGAAGACUGCUGUCCUGUCUUGGAACUCAACCUCUUUCGGCACCAGAAGCGGCGUGCCCCAAAGCCAGACUGCUCCCCCCGGCCGGUGAUCUGAACUCGGCUGUCUCAGUGGGGACGCAGGGGGACGUUCUCUUCACUCUGCCCAGGACACCUGGGGAAGCAGAGUCCUCCAGACAGGGCAUUUCUUCCAACUGCCUCGCUCUUGUCCGGUUAGGGACUUCCUCCUCCCUCUGCAUCUUGGGGGCAGAAAUCCUCCUGCUGGUUCCCAUUGAGUCAAGUGCUGGCUCCUCUGCCCCAUGUCCCUUAGCGGGUCUUACUGCAGAGGGUGAGGGCCAGCCGUGGCCCAGCCUUGGUUUGGGAAAUGGACCAGGGGAAGACACACUCUAGGUCUGAUUUGUAGAAUGAGGGGCUCUGAAUUCACUCAUCUGUCCCGGGUGACACCAUCCGAGGAGCCACAGCACAAGCUGACUCACCUUAGGCACCUAGAAGAAAACCUGAUGUCUAUUUAAGAGAAGCAAAGAAAAGUCAGUUGCUUUCCAGAGUUUGGAAUACAGCAGCAGCACCCGUGGCUCAGACAGCAGGGCGUCUGGCCACCCUCUGCUCAGUUGCCUCCCUGGGGCGGGCCGGGGGCAGCCUCCUCCACCAGGCACUUCUCCCUCUACCGUCACAUACUUGAAUCUUAUGGCUGCUGCUAAUAAAUGAAUGAAAGACUGGAUUCUGAGGCCCACUGAGCCCAUCUGAGCGUCCUCCGCACUUGAGUUCAUUUUGAAGCCACAAAUACCCAGCAGCAGAGGCAGAUAAUUCUCGGUAACCUUUAGAAAACCCAAUUUCCAUCCAUGUGCGACAAAAUGACUAUUUAAUAGAUGCAAAUGUCAUGCUUGAAUAUUUUUAGUCUUCCUUGUCAGUGUGUGAGUCAUUUGGAAUGACAGACUGCAUUCAGGGAGAGAGCAAGGAUCUUACCAGAAGCCCACUCCUUCACUAAUUUAUUUCAUACCUUUGACUGUCAUGAAUGUUUUCAGCGAUUUUGCAGGAAGCUGGCCUGUGCUUUCUGACAGCACAUCACACAUUUCCCGGGUCAAUUAAACAGAACGGCAGGGCCCAUUGUGAGCUCUUGACUUGAGUCCCUUUAAGAGAAAAGCAGCUCCCCUGAGCUGGCCCUGCCAUAUCUGCUCCGUGCACGUUUUAAAUUCCAGCUGCUUUUUCAGCUGUUUUGGUCUUUUCCUUUAGAGCUGCUUAUGGCGGGAAGUCAUUCUUUUCAUUUUAGUGGCCUCAGGCCCCAGAGGUUUUGCUGGGCGGAUGCACUGCCCUCCUUUUUGCGCAGGUGACAGGUGAGGGAGUCUGACAGUUGUGACGGUGCUCUGACACCCCUGCUGUCUUCCUCUGCAGCCAGGAGAGAGGCUCCAAGGAGCCAAAUGAGGUAGAACCGGGGUCCCUGACUUCCCCAAAGCUGUGAUCUCAAGUUGUGCUUCUAAACUUUGGCUACAGAAUUCAGUUCGCUUGGGGAGAUUUAAAAAAUAUCAACGUCGGGACCUCAGCCCCAGAAAUUCUGCUUUAAUUGGUUGCGGGUGACAUCACACCCAAUACCGUUUCUGAAAGGAGUAGGGAGGAAGGAGGGAGAAACCAUGCAGAGUUCCAUGGGAGCCCCUUGAAGGAAAGGACAGGUCUUGUCAUCAGUUCAUCCCCAGGGUCCAGCCCACAUCACUUGGGUCAUAGAAAAUACUCCAGAGAGAAUAAGUAACAGGCUGGAUGGAUGACUGAGAAUACGAACUGGGAACAAAUGAUAAGAGGCCAAAUAUUGUGGUGGAAAAAUCCAAUCCACUGGGCUUGGGGUGAGGGGGCACUGGUUUACCCCGUUUGCUGCUAACUGGUACUUUGGUCAAGAAACCUUCCCUCUUGGAGCCUUAGUUUCCUCAUCUGUAAAGCAAGGGGUUUGGAGCAAAUAAUGUCUAAUGUUCCCUCUCUAUUUUUAAAAUUCUCUAAGUAGAUGGUUGCUAUGCCUGCCCCUGGCAUUUGGCUAUUUUUCUUGCUUCAUGUGUGAUUCCAGUCCUCUCUGAAGUGGCCUAAGCUAGAGAGCAGGUGCCCAUGAGCACGAACUCUGGGGCCAUCAAAGAGAGGUUUUGGUGAUGGUUGGUGCGUCAAUGACAGACACACAGUGUAAAGGGAGAAGGUAGAAUGUUCUAGAAGAUUCCCUGAUGCCUGUGGUAAUUCCAUGGUGGGGUGGAUGGGAAUGGGGAGAGGGAUACACACAAGCCUGGAGCAUUUUCUUUUUGAUGUGAGCUAUAGGUGUGCUGCUAGAAACAUGGAAACCAAAGCCGGCUUCAGAAAUUUACAAGUCAAAGCCGAUGUUUCCCCUGACUCAGCUUCCUUCAGCAUUGCGCAACUCUCUCCAAACACUGCCGAACGGCUGUUUAUGUGGAGAUGAAGAAAAGCUCUCUGUUGACUUUAUUUCCAAACCCUGCCUUUUGGAAUUGACACAAGAAGAGGGCAAACGGCUCACCAGGCUUGACCAUCCGGUCAGCUGACUCCAACCCCCUGUCCCAGCUUUCUGGCUCCAUCUCGUCAAACAGAAGCUAUUGAAACAGAUAUCAACAACACAGAUAAAAAGUAGAGUGACAUGGGCUUUGAACCCCAAGGCCAAAGGCUUAUCGCAAACUGGUCAACUUCUCUCUGUGGCUUCCAUCCCCCAGGGGUGAAAGAGCAAACUCCCCUCCUUGCCUGAGAACUGCUCUGUGCAGGGUCUGGUCCCUAUGGGUGGGGGCACAGGGCACCAUCUGCACCUUCAGGGCCACUUCCUCAGCACUCCGGGUGGCCCAAGCCCCGGUCUGCUGUGGCUGCAGAUGGAGGGGGUCUCCAGCUUUGGAUGCCUGAACCAGUGACAGGCAGCAUUUGGUUAAAAGCACGAACUCUGAAACCAGACCACUGAGUCGGUCUCUUACAAAUGAGAAUGAUAAUGCACCUACCCAGUAAGGUUGCUAGGUGGGUCACGUUUGUGCAGAAUUCUAAAGCAGCUUAAAACACUGUCUGGCGCACAGGGUGUUUCGAUGAAAUCAGUGGUUCUCAGACUCCAGCGUGAAUAAGAAUCUCCUGGAGAGCUUGCUCCAGCGGAGUUUGCAGGGCUUCAUUCCCUGAGAGGCUGUCGGGGAGGGCCCAGGGUUUCUGGUUUUCAUCACGUGUCCCCAGGUGAAUUGGACACAGGUGGUCAGCACUGCCUGUGCCCGCUGCCCAGCAGCAGGAUGCUGCUUCCCUCGGGACUGGCUGUAGUGGGCCCGUGGGCUGCUUGAGUCUUUGCACAUGGCUCGUCUGGUCUGUGCUGGAAGGUUCUCCCUCUUCUUGAUCUUUCGAGUUUCAGCUCAAGUGCUAUCUCCUCCAGGAAACCUUCUCUCCCUGACUUUUGGCAGACCUGGACCUCUAGGCAGGGGCAUGAGCCCUUAUCUGCCA